rnacentral:rRNA from 1 species
UUAAGCGACUAAGCGUACACGGUGGAUGCCCUGGCAGUCAGAGGCGAUGAAGGACGUGCUAAUCUGCGAAAAGCGUCGGUAAGGUGAUAUGAACCGUUAUAACCGGCGAUGUCCGAAUGGGGAAACCCAGUGUGAUUCGUCACACUAUCGUUAACUGAAUACAUAGGUUAACGAGGCGAACCGGGGGAACUGAAACAUCUAAGUACCCCGAGGAAAAGAAAUCAACCGAGAUUCCCCCAGUAGCGGCGAGCGAACGGGGAGCAGCCCAGAGUCUGAAUCAGCUUGUGUGUUAGUGGAACGGUCUGGAAAGUCCGACGGUACAGGGUGAUAGUCCCGUACACCAAAAUGCACAGGCUGUGAACUCGAAGAGUAGGGCGGGACACGUGGUAUCCUGUCUGAAUAUGGGGGGACCAUCCUCCAAGGCUAAAUACUCCUGACUGACCGAUAGUGAACCAGUACCGUGAGGGAAAGGCGAAAAGAACCCCGGCGAGGGGAGUGAAAAAGAACCUGAAACCGUGUACGUACAAGCAGUGGGAGCACCUUCGGGUGUGACUGCGUACCUUUUGUAUAAUGGGUCAGCGACUUAUAUUCUGUAGCAAGGUUAACCGUAUAGGGGAGCCGCAGGGAAACCGAGUCUUAACUGGGCGUUAAGUUGCAGGGUAUAGACCCGAAACCCGGUGAUCUAGCCAUGGGCAGGUUGAAGGUUGGGUAACACUAACUGGAGGACCGAACCGACUAAUGUUGAAAAAUUAGCGGAUGACUUGUGGCUGGGGGUGAAAGGCCAAUCAAACCGGGAGAUAGCUGGUUCUCCCCGAAAGCUAUUUAGGUAGCGCCUCGUGAACUCAUCUUCGGGGGUAGAGCACUGUUUCGGCUAGGGGGUCAUCCCGACUUACCAACCCGAUGCAAACUACGAAUACCGAAGAAUGUUAUCACGGGAGACACACGGCGGGUGCUAACGUCCGUCGUGAAGAGGGAAACAACCCAGACCGCCAGCUAAGGUCCCAAAGUCAUGGUUAAGUGGGAAACGAUGUGGGAAGGCACAGACAGCCAGGAUGUUGGCUUAGAAGCAGCCAUCAUUUAAAGAAAGCGUAAUAGCUCACUGGUCGAGUCGGCCUGCGCGGAAGAUGUAACGGGGCUAAACCAUGCACCGAAGCUGCGGCAGCGACACUAUGUGUUGUUGGGUAGGGGAGCGUUCUGUAAGCCUGCGAAGGUGUGCUGUGAGGCAUGCUGGAGGUAUCAGAAGUGCGAAUGCUGACAUAAGUAACGAUAAAGCGGGUGAAAAGCCCGCUCGCCGGAAGACCAAGGGUUCCUGUCCAACGUUAAUCGGGGCAGGGUGAGUCGACCCCUAAGGCGAGGCCGAAAGGCGUAGUCGAUGGGAAACAGGUUAAUAUUCCUGUACUUGGUGUUACUGCGAAGGGGGGACGGAGAAGGCUAUGUUAGCCGGGCGACGGUUGUCCCGGUUUAAGCAUGUAGGCUGGUUAUCCAGGCAAAUCCGGAUAAUCAAGGCUGAGGUGUGAUGACGAGGCACUACGGUGCUGAAGUAACAAAUGCCCUGCUUCCAGGAAAAGCCUCUAAGCAUCAGGUAACAUCAAAUCGUACCCCAAACCGACACAGGUGGUCAGGUAGAGAAUACCAAGGCGCUUGAGAGAACUCGGGUGAAGGAACUAGGCAAAAUGGUGCCGUAACUUCGGGAGAAGGCACGCUGGUGUGUAGGUGAAGUCCCUGCGGAUGGAGCUGAGACCAGUCGAAGAUACCAGCUGGCUGCAACUGUUUAUUAAAAACACAGCACUGUGCAAACACGAAAGUGGACGUAUACGGUGUGACGCCUGCCCGGUGCCGGAAGGUUAAUUGAUGGGGUUAUCCGUAAGGAGAAGCUCUUGAUCGAAGCCCCGGUAAACGGCGGCCGUAACUAUAACGGUCCUAAGGUAGCGAAAUUCCUUGUCGGGUAAGUUCCGACCUGCACGAAUGGCGUAAUGAUGGCCAGGCUGUCUCCACCCGAGACUCAGUGAAAUUGAACUCGCUGUGAAGAUGCAGUGUACCCGCGGCAAGACGGAAAGACCCCGUGAACCUUUACUAUAGCUUGACACUGAACAUUGAGCCUUGAUGUGUAGGAUAGGUGGGAGGCUUUGAAGCGUGGACGCCAGUCUGCGUGGAGCCAACCUUGAAAUACCACCCUUUAAUGUUUGAUGUUCUAACGUUGGCCCCUGACCGGGGUUGCGGACAGUGUCUGGUGGGUAGUUUGACUGGGGCGGUCUCCUCCCAAAGCGUAACGGAGGAGCACGAAGGUUAGCUAAUCCUGGUCGGACAUCAGGAGGUUAGUGCAAUGGCAUAAGCUAGCUUGACUGCGAGCGUGACGGCGCGAGCAGGUGCGAAAGCAGGUCAUAGUGAUCCGGUGGUUCUGAAUGGAAGGGCCAUCGCUCAACGGAUAAAAGGUACUCCGGGGAUAACAGGCUGAUACCGCCCAAGAGUUCAUAUCGACGGCGGUGUUUGGCACCUCGAUGUCGGCUCAUCACAUCCUGGGGCUGAAGUAGGUCCCAAGGGUAUGGCUGUUCGCCAUUUAAAGUGGUACGCGAGCUGGGUUUAGAACGUCGUGAGACAGUUCGGUCCCUAUCUGCCGUGGGCGCUGGAGAAUUGAGGGGGGCUGCUCCUAGUACGAGAGGACCGGAGUGGACGCAUCACUGGUGUUCGGGUUGUCAUGCCAAUGGCACUGCCCGGUAGCUAAAUGCGGAAGAGAUAAGUGCUGAAAGCAUCUAAGCACGAAACUUGCCCCGAGAUGAGUUCUCCCUGAGACU